GGGUGAAAAUUGAGGUGGACGAGCGAGGAACCAAGGGAUCAUCUGUGACAGCUGCAGUCAUGUUCUCUCGGAUGGCAGUACCAGAGAUCACUCUAGACCGACCUUUCCUCUUUCUCAUUCAGCACAAACCCACAGAUGCAGUUCUGUUCAUGGGUCAGUUCAAUCACCCUCCACAGCAGUAAC